rnacentral:sRNA from 1 species
AUCUUAACAGUCGCACUCUCCAAAACGUUUUUAUUCUUUUCGUAGUUACCUUCACGCUGUGGAAUCAAGCCCAGGCGCUGUUCCUUCUCGAUCUUAUAGUAGUAAUCGUUCAUCAGAUCUGAACCUUCGGUAGUUGAGACAGCUUUUUGUUGAACACUUGCACCAUUUUUACCCUUUUCCUUAAAGAUGCCAAAAGGUACGAUCGAAUAGUUCAGGUCACCGGAGUUUGGCAACAGGAUAAUCGCUAGGUUUUGUCAGUUAAUUAAACC